rnacentral:SRP_RNA from 1 species
GCCAAGCAUGGUGGCUCAAGCCUGUAGUCCCAGCUACUCAGGAGGCAGAGCUGGGAAGAUCGCUUGAGCCCAGGAGUUCUGGGCUACAGUGAGCUAUGAUGGUGCCACUGCACCCCAGCCUGGGCAACAGAGCAAGACCCCAUCUCUA